UGUAAUUUUCAUUCAAAUAGUACGCAAAGUGUGUGCGUGUUUUUUUUUUUUUUUUAUUAGCGGUGUUUUAAAGAGUUUAAGGAUAAUUCACUUUGAGUUUGUCUAACAAACCGUAAUAUAAAAUGGCGGAAGCGGAGGUUGCCAGACUGAAUGAAAUAUGCAGGGAACAUGCCAGACUGGAGAGUGAAAUUUCUGAAAAAUUUCAAGCUUUAACUCGAAGAAACAGUAUUGAAGAUAUACAAAACAGGCUGCAAGUCAUUGUAAGGGAAUAUUCAAAUCAAACGCAAACAUUGGAAAGAAAUAUUGCAACCCUGACGGGCGCAGUACAGGCUGCUGAGAGAGAAAACCAAAGGCUUAGAAAUGAAAAUGCUGCACUGCAGGAAAGGUUGC